GAGUUUGAUCCUGGCUCAGGACGAACGCUGGCGGCGUGCCUAAUGCAUGCAAGUCGCACGCGGGGGAGCUUGCUCCGCCGCGUGGCGCACGGCUGAGGACCACGUGGGUACCAACCCCGGAGUGGGGGAUACCCCAUCGAAAGAUGGGACAAUCCCGCAUACGAUCGGCAACGAUGAAAGCGGCAACGCGCUCCGGGACGGGCCUGCGGCCCAUCAGGUAGUUGGUGUGGUAACGGCGCACCAAGCCAGUGACGGGUCCCUGGUCUGAGAGGACGACCAGGCAGACUGGGACUGAGACACGGCCCAGACUCCUACGGGAGGCAGCAGCAAGGAAUUUUCCCCAAUGGGCUCACGCCUGAGGGAGCAACGCCGCGUGCAGGACGACGGCCUUCGGGUUGUAACUGCUUUUAGGGGGUAAGGACCGACGACGGUACCCCCUCGAACUAAG
rnacentral:rRNA from 2 species